AUGGUCUAGCUAGUAAAAUUAAGCAAAAAGAACUUUAAGUUUAACCCCCCGAAACUAGGUGAGCUACUUCAAAACAGCUAGUAGAGCUAACCCAUCUCUGUUGCAAUAGAGUGGGGUGAUUUUCAAGUAGAGGUGAUAAACCUACCGCACCAAGAGAUAGCUGGUUGCUCAAAAAAAGAAUUUAAGUUCAACCUUAAGUUUUUUUAGUUUUCUAAAACACCCAUAAAACUUAAGAGCCAUUCAAAUAAGGCACAGCUUAUUUGAAAUAGGAAACAACCUAAAAGAUUGGGUAAUCAUAAAUAAGAAAAAUAUUAAGUGGGCCUAAAAACAGCCAUCUUUUAAAAAACGUUAAAGUUUUUUAUUUUAUUCUUAUCUAAUACCACGAUUCUUAAAGAACCCAUAAACCUUAUUGAGUAAUUCUAUAUAACUAUAGAAAGUUUUAUGCUAGAACUAGUAACAAGAAGCAGAACUUCUCAAAAAUGUAAGCUUAAGCCACUCUAGACAACCUACCGGCAAUUAACGCGGAUGAACCAAUUUUAACAACGUUACAAGAAAACCUUAAAAACAUUAGCGUCAACCUUACACUAGAACAUUUUUUGAAAGAUUAAAAGAAAGAGAAGGAACUCGGCAAAUUUUAACCCCGCCUGUUUAC
rnacentral:rRNA from 1 species